UACGUAGGGUGCAAGCGUUGUCCGGAAUUAUUGGGCGUAAAGAGCUCGUAGGCGGCUUGUACGCGUCGACUGUGAAAACCCGCGGCUCAACUGCGGGCUUGCGGUCGAUACGGGCAGGCUAGAGUUCGGUAGGGGAGACUGGAAUUCCUGGUGUAGCGGUGAAAUGCGCAGAUAUCAGGAGGAACACCGAUGGCGAAGGCAGGUCUCUGGGCCGAUACUGACGCUGAGGAGCGAAAGCGUGGGGAGCGAACAGG
rnacentral:rRNA from 1 species